GACGAACGCUGGCGGCGUGCUUAACACAUGCAAGUCGAGCGGUAAGGCCCUUUCGGGGGUACACGAGCGGCGAACGGGUGAGUAACACGUGGGUGACCUGUCCUCAGCUCUGGGAUAAGCCUGGGAAACUGGGUCUAAUACUGGAUAUGACUCCACGGUGCAUGUCGUGGGGUGGAAAGCCUUGUGCGGCUGAGGAUGGGCCCGCGGCCUAUCAGCUUGUUGGUGGGGUGANGGCCUACCAAGGCGACGACGGGUAGCCGGCCUGAGAGGGCGACCGGCCACACUGGGACUGAGACACGGCCCAGACUCCUACGGGAGGCAGCAGUGGGGAAUCUUGCGCAAUGGGCGAAAGCCUGACGCAGCGACGCCGCGUGAGGGAUGACGGCCUGG
rnacentral:rRNA from 1 species